CCGCCGCCCCACCGGGAGGAGCUCCGCGGAGACCCCGGCUCCAGCGCGCUUCGAGGCUGCUCAGCGGCCGCUGCUCCUCCCCUGGUUCCAAGAUGAAAAGGCAGGCUCAGACUUCUUGAAAACUUACAUCUUUAGCAAGAAAAUCUUCCCAUUGGUGGAAAUCCACAAGAUCACGACGUAACAGAGUGGUCUGGAACUACCCUGUCAAUCUCAGUUAUUCUAAAAGCACCCAAGAUUAAACUAAUGCUUUGUCCUGCCAGGUUGGGAGAGGCAGAUAGAUGUGUUAGAGUAGAGAAAUUAAUAGAUGUACUAAUUUAUGCGUUGGCCUUGGUGAAGACUGACACCAAAAGUCUUCCUUUAUACUUUAGUAUAAAUCAUCUCCCACUUAUACUUUAGGCCAAAUUAAACGAAAAGUUCUCUAAAAGUCAUUCGAUUGCGCUUUUAGCUGUUUCCCUGCUCGCCCUUCAACACAGCAUUUUCCCAUUCCAGUCUGGUGCAGGCCUAGUAGACAACCUCAGCACCCCUCCUUAACACUGCAAGGGGUGCGGGUAGCCUGGCCUCAGCUAACCUAGGUCCUGACAGAAAGCUAAUCUGGAGCUUUCUUCCUGGGCAGCAGAUGGGUAAGUCCCUACUAAACUAAUUUGUAAGCCAGCAGAUAAGUGCAGAAAUAUUCUCUGGCUCAGAUACCUAACCUGGACUUAAAGGCCCAGUGAAGCAGUUACUGCAAGCGCAAACCUCCUACAGAAGGAUAUUUAGGGUCCUCUUACACCCAGCUGAAGCUUAGGACCCCUGAAAUGCUCCCUUGGUGCCAAGGAAGCACUGAACCCUAGACUUUUAACUCUAGUGAAACAGUCUUAAAUCCCUACUGGUCCUCUUUACUUAUAGAAGUUACUGUUCCUUUUUAUUUUUUCUCUCACUAGUAGUGUAAGUGCUGGGCUGCAGAACACCGUAUCCAACGCUAUGCUUACUGACCCAAGCAGAGUGCUAAGCACUCUAUUAGCACUAAAUACAUGAAAGCUGUUAUUAUACUUAUUAUGCUUUAUUUCCCUGAAAGCCAAGGAAGAACAUUAAUGAGGGUUGGAAAUGUCAGAUCUGUAUCCCCUGCAAGCCAAGCCUGUCCUGAGUUGCUUUCUAGCAAUGCUUCUGCCCGCUCUGUGCUUGCCUUCCAGCAGGGUGGACUGGACAGGUCCGCACGCGCAGGACCCUAAAAGAUGAAUUAGUGCCUCUCACCAUGCCUGCUGAAUACUUGGAUGUUGAGGAGCCACCUUGAAAUGUUCCACGCAAGGUUUUGAUGGAUUGUGAACUCUAAA